UUCCGAAAAUAAUAAAAUACAAUCCUCUUCCAACUUGGCUUUUAACCUAGCACAUAUAAAUACAUGCCUACGUUUCUCUCUUUGAUAUAUCUGAGCCGCCGCCAAAAUUCUCCUGUUCCCGGCGCAUCUGCCCUUCGUUCCUGUGACAUUGAAAAGUCGACGCCGAGCAAAGUAUGGAGAAAUCGAUUGAGUGCCAUGAGCAAGUCGAUCACGUGCUGUCGUUCUUUGCUGGAGAGGCAUAACCGAUCCUCCGAGCUUAGUGUUGUAGAGCCGCUCCAGCGUCUGGCCAUCCAUGCCGUGUGUGUUCUGCUCCGCUCCGAAUCUUGCAGGGCUUAUGCUGGCCACCACCCUUCUUGAUGUUUGACGAGCAGCUUGUUUGGAAAUUGCUGUCGCUAGCUUUCAGACGAGAACUGUUUAUGAGUGCUGAUGAUCAGAAGAUGAUGAUUAAAGGCUCAUGGUGUGAGAAUUGAGCAAGUUUAAG